AACCGUGUACGUACAAGCAGUAGGAGCCCCAUCACUCAAGUGCCUCGCACUGAGUGAUGCAAGAACAUCACCGAAAAUAGCGCCGAAUUUGCUAACAAGGUUGGUCGAUUUUUUCAAGCCGUCGCGCAGUGUACCUAGAAGUACACGAGCAACGGAAGUUAAAAAAUCGGGCAAGAUUGAACGCAAAGGAAAGCGGGACAUUUGAGGAUGGGGUGACUGCGUACCUUUUGUAUAAUGGGUCAGCGACUUAUAUUCUGUAGCAAGGUUAACCGUAUAGGGGAGCCGUAGGGAAACCGAGUCUUAACUGGGCGAAUGAGUUGCAGGGUAUAGACCCGAAACCCGGUGAUCUAUCCAUGGGCAGGUUGAAGGUUGGGUAACACUAACUGGAGGACCGAA
rnacentral:rRNA from 1 species